rnacentral:rRNA from 1 species
CCUACGGGUGGCAGCAGUAGGGAAUAUUGGACAAUGGCCGAAAGGCUGAUCCAGCCAUCCCGCGUGCAGGUAGAAGGUCCUAUGGAUUGUAAACUGCUUUUCUCUGGGAAGAAAUCACUUGUUUCUACGAGUGUUGACGGUACCAGAGGAAUAAGCACCGGCUAACUCCGUGCCAGCAGCCGCGGUAAUACGGAGGGUGCAAGCGUUAUCCGGAUUCACUGGGUUUAAAGGGUGCGCAGGCGGAUUUGUAAGUCAGUGGUGAAAGCCCCGGGCUCAACCUGGGAAUUGCCGUUGAUACUGCAAGUCUUGAGUAUAGUUGAGGUGGGCGGAAUACAUCAUGUAGCGGUGAAAUGCUUAGAUAUGAUGUAGAACACCGAUUGCGAAGGCAGCUCACUAAACUAUAACUGACGCUCAGGCACGAAAGCGUGGGUAUCAAACAG